AUACGGUCAACUUUGUCUACGUAUCGCGAAUUUUUUUUUUGUCUACUUCGUUUCGUUUGAUUUUAUGAAAUUUUUUUCAUCUCAUUGCAACUUCGGUCGGUUUCGUUAAGAAUCGAAACUGUAACAUCCGCGUUUCGGAUGAAUUUUGAUUAUCGAAAAACCAAAACGAGGAAGAAUGAAAGAGGAGGAGAGAAAAACGAAAAAAGAAGUAAAUGAUUAUAAAAUGCAACGCGGGGUGACAGUUUGGUUAACGAGGACUACAUAAUUUCUAAUGGGAUUCCGGAUUACGAUUAUUUUUUUUAUUUCUCACUUUUUUUUUCAAACAGAUUUUUCACCCCGAGGAUUCAAUUUUCUUCUGCGUGUGAUGUACGUACAAAACGACUCGUUUCUCAUCGACACGGUGAGGAGAGGAGAAGAUGGAAGAGAUGGAAGCGAGGAUAUUUGCGGGAGGGAAGCAGAAAAUAUAAAAUUCUGGAUUCCCUGAGAAAAAAUUCGUUCUCCAGUUUUUCAUCCGUUCAAAUUUUUUAUUCCUUGGCGUACGUUUCGACUGUAAGCACAUCGCAUCCUGUCCCCACGGCAACCGAUGUGAAGUAAAAUGCUGCUAUUGCUUUAAGAGGAGGUGGUAUACGUGGGUGGGUAUGCCUGCACCGGGUCGUACGUGCGUACGCUAAUAACGGAAGUUUCGAGGUCAUUUCUGAAAGGAAAGAGUAGAAAAAAAACAAGGAGUAGAAGUGGAAGGAAAAAAAUAAAACAUUUAAAUAAAUAAAUGGAGGAGCGAAAAAGCAAAAUUAUUUCACGAAACGUAUAUCACGAGAUUGCAGAUUCCGUGGAGAGGAAAGAGGGACUGUGGAAGUAUUCAGAAUGAAAAACGCGAAAAGAGAAAGCUAGGGAGGUACGAUUCUUCGAGAUAUAAAAGUGGCGGUGGUAUGUGGGUAUAUAAUCCUGCCGGGCACUGUAAUGUUCGGGUCAAAUUGUCGCAUGUCUUCUUCAUCCGCCCCAUGGGAUGACGGGGGGACGUUAUAAGAGAAGGUCGUCUAGCAGACGACGACGGAGGCGACUAUAAGGAUAGCGUUUCACCGCGACGUGGCCACGGAUAGGACUCGCGUCGGACCAAAGUAGAGAGUAAAGGAAGAUACUAAGGAAAAGGAACUACCUCAUCCGUACACUUCUCAUCGUUCGUUCUUACGGACCUACCUACCUACCUACCUACCUUCGCUUCGCGGUGGAGUUUCAGUGUUCUCUCGAGUCGCCGUUGGAAGAACUCUCUGUGGCAGUGUCAGUGACCGGAGUAUGACCCCUGCCAGGAUCCCUGGGCACCACCUCUACUCUCUGACUUCAACUAUAUCUAUAGUACUUUACCGCUUUAAACUCACUGGUCUUCUCUCCCCUUAUAUUCUUAUUCUCAUUCCUAUUCCUGUCCACGUGUACAAUGAUUAUUACCGCGAGGACUUACGGCAACCGGAAGUCCAUGCAUCCUUAAUCAUUGAAAUUUCUCUCCGUCGUGAUUCCUUCCAGCUGAAGAAACCAGAGGAGAAACUGUCCCGAAAAAAACCAAGCUUCCGAAAUCUCGAAUCCUUCGUACCAUGGUCGAGGGAAAAAAUAUAUAUAUAUAUCUUCGAGAGAUUCGAAGGUUUUCCGAUAUAAUUUUCUUCUCUCUGCGAAGCGCGAUCGCCUUCGUGUCAUUUUUCUGUCUUCCUCUGUCUCUCUUUUUUUUUUUUAUUUCUGUUCCAUCUUCAGUUUAUUUAUUUUUAUUUGUACGCGCGAGAGAGGAGUUACUUUCCCAGGUUUCUUUUCCAGUCCCAUUUCUUUUUACUUAUUGUAUUUCACCUUUUAGUUUCUAUUCUUCUUCCACGCGUACAAUACAGCUCGGAAAGACUACCCGGUAGAAGAAACGGCGGUUCGUCGUUGUCUCGAGUGUCGCAUCUAGCCGAAGGAAGAGUCAAGUCGCUGACGAUGCCCCUCCGGGGUCGUUUCGUCGAGUCGUUCAUAUCCCACCAGUACGACGGCAUCAACGAAAUACGUAUGUAACGUUGUAACGGAAUAUGAGGUAAAAACAUAAGAAAAAAAAAAAAUUGUAACUAUAACUUCUGCUAGGAAACUAACUACCCCUUUACCUCCUCACCCUUUACUUUGUUCCCUAUUUUAUUUCACUCCGUUCUAUUUGAUUUAUAUUUUCUGUUUCCUUCUAUGUUAUUCCUUCAAGAAAUCACAUCGUGAUCAAUUGAAUUAGAUUCGCUCUAUAGGAAUAUCAUCUUGAGAAACCCUUGAGAAGAUUUUCUAGCGUCCAUUGCCCGAUUGAAUCUGUUAUAUAAUAUUAUAUUAUACAUCAAGAGCCAACCAUCGACCCGCGGCGAAGGUAUUCGAAUAUUUUACAGGAGCAUUCGAAAAUCAUAAAGGUUUACAAUCGGUAUCGAUAGAUUUCAAAUUUUGCGAUGUCAUAAAUAAGAUUAAUCGACGUUGAAAAUUUUUACUUCGCAUCAAGAGGAUC
rnacentral:lncRNA from 1 species